rnacentral:rRNA from 1 species
CACCUCUAGCAUUAUCAGUAUUAGAGGCAAUGCCUGCCCAGUGACAUUAGUUAAACGGCCGCGGUAUCCUGACCGUGCAAAGGUAGCAUAAUCAUUUGUUCCUUAAUUAGGGACUUGUAUGAAUGGCCCCACGAGGGUUUGACUGUCUCUUACUUUUAAUCAGUGAAAUUGACCUUCCCGUGAAGAGGCGGGAAUACAUAAAUAAGACGAGAAGACCCUAUGGAGCUUAAAUUAAUUUGUUCAAUCAAAAUUCAAUUUUUAUCCAACAGGAAUAAUAACAUUUUAACUGAACAACAAAUUUUGGUUGGGGUGACCUCGGAGUACAAAAGAACCUCCGAGCGAUUUAACUAAGACAUACUAGUCAAGGCCAUAUAACUCAUUGAUCCAAUCAUAUUGAUCAACGGAACAAGUUACCCUAGGGAUAACAGCGCAAUCCUAUUUGAGAGUUCAUAUCGACAAUAGGGUUUACGACCUCGAUGUUGGAUCAGGACACCCAAAUGGUGCAGCAGCUAUUAAAGGUUCGUUUGUUCAACG